rnacentral:tRNA from 1 species
CGUACUGCCGGUCGGGGCCUUCACGUUUUCCAAUGGCGUGGAGUCCGCCAUUCAAACUGGCGUGGUACGC